AACGAACGCUGGCGGCAGGCUUAACACAUGCAAGUCGAGCGCGUAGCAAUACGAGCGGCAGACGGGUGAGUAACGCGUGGGAAUCUACCCUUGACUACGGAAUAACGCAGGGAAACUUGUGCUAAUACCGUAUGUGUCCUUCGGGAGAAAGAUUUAUCGGUCAAGGAUGAGCCCGCGUUGGAUUAGCUAGUUGGUGGGGU
rnacentral:rRNA from 1 species